AUGUUGACAGGCUGCCUGGGAGCCAAGAUUCUGGCUUCCUCCUCGGCACGUGUCGCUGGCUGGAUUCUCCCUUGGAGGACACCGCCAACGGUUAAAACGCUUUAUGGAGGCCGCACUCUGCGCCAGACACGGCCGGCCACAGGCGAGAACCGAGCGCACAGAAGGGCUGUUCGAAUCCACGGCCGCCCGGAAGCUAGGUCCGGUGGGGACGCCAGGGAGGGACAGAGAGGAGGGGCGGAGGGGAGGCAGGCUGGCUCCAUGGUGGGGAGGCGGCCCUGGUCGCAGGGCUGCUGCUGCAUUCUGGGGGCCUCGGCAGGGGCUGGGGGGCCCCCCUCGCCCCGUGAAGCCCGCGCAGAGAGAGAGGCCACCGUGGCCAUGGUCACACUGAGGAGUCCAGGUCCCUGCUGCAGGGCAUCCGGGGCUGAGUGGCAGGAGGGCACUCAGAGCCAGGAGGUCAGUCCCCCUCUGAGGAGGGUGGGAGGUCACCUGUCCGGGUUUGCACCCCUGGCCUGGAGGAGCCCCGGCGCCCACACACACUGGGUCACGGAGGGCGGGUCCUGGAGGCAGCCUGAAUGCAUGGCUCUCUGCCAGGACGCCCCCCCGGGGGCAGGGACGCCAGCCCGGGGAGGGCCCCUCGCUCUCCAGGGUGGAGGGGUAGGGAGGGCCAGUCACAGGAGCGGUUUGGGCUUGUUCUCUCUGGUGGUUUCUAGACGCCCAUCUCCGCGGAUGCGCUGGUUGGGGUGUCUAGGAAGGCGGUGCCAGCCCCCACUUCCCUUCCCUGAAACUACCCGGGCAACCCAAGCCGGCACAGGCAGCGGGCCCGGCACCUGUGCUCUGCAGUCGUCCGCCAGCCCUGCCACCUGCCUGCCUUGGGGGGGGACAGUGGGCGGGCCUGCCCCCCUUCCCUACCUCAGAUACCGCAGAGUUCAGGGCUGGGCAGACAGCGCAGCGGGAAGAACUGAGGCUGACUGCAGGUCGGCCAGAAGGACAGCGACUCUUCCCUGCUGCUGGACCCCACGGGGGCAGGGGCGCCCAUGGCGGACCCGGCUCUGCGGGGGAGGGGGCCCCACGGCAGCACCGUGACUCUGUAGAGCCUUGAGCCGCGGGACCAUGAACGGUACCUGUUACUUGUGGGAGCUCAACUGGCCCCACUGGGUCAGGAACAUCGUCCUCACCUACACGUGCCUGCUGCUGGCGCUGGGGCUGCUGCUCAACGGCCUGGCGCUCUGGGUGUUCUGCUGCCGCGCGCCGCGCUGGACGGAGACACGCAUCUACAUGGCCAACCUGGCGGCGGCCGACCUCUGCCUGCUCUGCGCCCUGCCCUUCUUCCUGCAUUCCCUGGGGACCACGGUCACGGACACGCCCUUCUGCCAGCUCUCCCAGGGCAUCUACCUGGCCAACAGGUACAUGAGCAUCAGCCUGGUCGUGGCCAUCGCCGUGGACCGCUACGUGGCCGUGCGGCACCCGCUGCGCGCCCGCGCCCUCCGCUCCCCGCGCCAGNNNNNNNNNNNNNNNNNNNNNNNNNNNNNNNNNNNNNNNNNNNNNNNNNNNNNNNNNNNNNNNNNNNNNNNNNNNNNNNNNNNNNNNNNNNNNNNNNNNNUUUGUGGCCUGCUUCCUGCCCUUACACGUGGUGCUGACGGUGCGCACAGCCACGAGCUGGAGCGCCCCCGCUCUCUGCUCCGCCCUCUACGUCACUGGCAAGCUCUCGGAUUCCAACUGCUGCCUGGACGCCAUCUGCUACUACUUCAUGGCCAAGGACUUCCAGGAGGCGGCGGCACUGGCCCCAAGGCCCACGGCCAGGGCCCACAGGAGCCAGGACUCUGUGACCCUGGCUUAGGACACUGACCGUGGGCACGGGGGCCAGGGCCCAGGCCCUCCAGGAGGUGCAGCCUGGCUCCCCACGGAUGGUGGGCAGGCUUCAGGAAGCCUGGUAGGGUGGCAAUGACCCAGGCGCGGACCCUGCGGCAGUGACACUCCACCGCAGGAGUGGAAGAGGGUCAGAGGACUGAGUGAAGUCAACCCCUGGGGCCCUGGGAUGGGGCCAACACCUGCAGUGCCCAGGGUCUGGUCCCCUGGGUACUGGGGUGGACGCCUGCUCUGUGCUGGGAGGCGUCGGUGGCCACCUUUGUGCUGCCGCCCCGUGGGGGUUGGGACAAAGCUAUUCCCCCGACCCGGCCAGGGCUGUGCACGUGCGCAUGCGUGCAUGUACGUGUGUGCGCAUUUGGACAGGCACGUGCUGCCCACACUCAGAUGGUAGGAAGUGGGGGGCUGGGGCGACUUCCCAGCGGGCUCUCCACUUGGGUGCUCUCCUUGGCGCCCCCGCCCAGCUUCUGGAGGGCUGGGGGCGGUGAGGAAGUGGCCAAGGGCGUCGAGGGGGCACUCAUGCUUCCUCCAGGGACGUCGGAAGGCCCCGCCUGGGGGCCGCGGGGCCCGGAUACUGCCCAGGCGCAAGUGUGGAUGCCGGGGCUGGCGUGGGCUGUGCCCGCCCGCCCGCCAUGGUGCUGCUCUAAGUUGGGCUUGGGUUCAGACCCCACCCACCCGCAUCCCUGAGCGCCAAACAGCCUCCCCGCCCGGUUCCCCGCGCGUGCGGUUAGAGCCCGAAUGGCAGCUGUGUCCUGGCCCCCGGGGCCUGCGGACUCAGGGGGCCCCGCCCGGAGGGGUCAGUGCUCAGGGUGCGCUCCCCUCCGAGGCCAGUGCCCGGGAAGCUCAGGCUUAGCCGAGCCCCACCCUGCCGGCCCCCACGGGCGCUGCCUGCCCCCGGCCAUGGCUCGGAGAGGGAGUGCGCGUGGCUUCUCCUGGCGCUGGGUAGGUGAAGGCAGCCGGACUUGAACAAAAUUCCUGACGGAACAAGAAAUGGGGCAGAAGCCAAAUCACGUGUUAGGCGUCCCUACAACUGACUUCUGAACCCUAAUCACGGCCCACACAGAGUCUGGCCUCUGGGCUGCACCAGGCCAAGUGGAAGAGCUCCCUAUCAUGAAUCUACAGACCGACCACCCCGAUCCUGGCCCAGAGGGCUUAGGGUGGAGUGGGAAGUCUGGCACAUCGAUCAGGAUUGGGCUCACCAUUAAUCAGCAAGCAACAGGCAUCUGAAAGAAAAGCAGGUUCCUUUUGAGGCUACAUCAACAGGAGUACAGGUCCUAGAAUGUGGGAGGACACAAGUCUUUCUCCCUCUGCCAGAAUUACACCUAUGGUAUUUGAUCUGGUUAGGGGACUGCUCUGUACCGAAGCCACCGGGGCGAGGGUCUGGACAGUGCAGGCUGGUGAGGGUUGGCAACCCAGGCCAGCUGACAACAAGCAGAGGAAGUAUGAGCAGUCAGAUGAAGUGAGGUGCCUCCCAGGAAAUGGUGGCACCAGCAAUCCCCGAGAAGCACACGGGUCUGGGUGGCUGCGAGGACAGAUGCCGACUGGGAGGGACUCAGAGGACUGCACGGGGUUGAGCAGAAUCUAAGUGUCCAAUAAUGUUCUUUUUUUUUUUUUUAAGGUUCUUUAUGUUGAGAGAUAGAGAGGGCAGGGGAGGGGCAGAGAGAGGGAGGGACAGAAUCCCAGGCAGGCUCUGCGCUGACAGCGCAGAGGUGGGGCUCCAACUCACCCCAUGAUGGGAUCCUGACCAGGGCUGAGCUCAGGAGCAGGUUGCUUGCCGGGCGGAGCCGCCCAGGCGCCCCGGGGCCGGUAACGGUCCCACACAGAGCGGGCGCCCCGGGAGGUCCGAGUCACCCGCCGGGGGCCGAGCCUGGCCGUGGCUGCUCUCGGAAGGUAGUGUGAGGGAGACGCCAGCCAGUAGCUGGCAGAGAAACGCUUUGUCUCCUGUUCUCCAGUUCUUGGAGGAAACUUUCCUGAGACUAAGUGUCCGUCACCUACGGGGGACGCGUGUCAACCAGACACAGUGCAGGAACAGGUGGGGGGGUGGGCGCUGGGUGUGGGGGCUGCCGCCCCCCUCCAGGUCUGCCCCCCAGCUGCCCUGCAGGGUUAGGGGCCCCGCCGGGACCCUGUGUCAGGGCUGCCUGGCAAGAAGGGGCGGCUGAUCACAGAGUUGAGCCAACAGGAAAGUCAGCACCUCAGGAAACUACUGCCCACAAGUAACCUUUCAGAUAAAGGUGCCUGAGUCUGAGCACGAAAAAGCCCCUGCGGGGGGGCGGGGGGGCGCGCCAGCCUCCCCACCUGUGUGGGCUCACUGGCCUGCACCCGCCCCCGGCAGCAAGGUGGCUCCAAGCUCCUGCCACACGCACAGUGCUGUGCCUGCCCCCACCUCCAAGUCUGCGCGGCUGGCCGUCCCUCCCAGGGGUCCCCGGGCACCCGCCCCCCACCUCACAGCUGCACAGGGUGCGACUUUCCCAGAUUCAUGGGAGUGGGCGCCCCCUCCAGGCUUCCCGGGCAGCCGGUGGGGUGGGGAAGGCGGCCUUCUCUGGCUUCCUUGUUCCAGCAGGGGCUGCGCCAGGUCCUGGGAGAGCAGACUCUCCGCCAGCCCCAACACCCCUGCCCCCAGAGAGCCCCUUACACCGGCUGCUGGUGUGGACAAGGUUAGGGCCAGGCUGCUGCUGGGCAGGGAACACCCCUGCAUCAGGCUGGGUUCUGGAAGCGUCUCUGAGAUGCAGGCUUGAUGCAGGGGUUUCCCUGGGGGUGCUCUAGGGAACCCCACCCGAAAGGGAGCUAGCAAAGCAGGAUAGGCUGAGGGAGCCCUUGGGGGGCCCGGAGCAGAGGUGAGCACAUGGCUGACCACACAGGGUGACCAUGGCACCCCCAGCACCCCCCCCAGCCUCCACCCUGGCAGGCCAGGUGCCUGGACCCCUGAGCUGCGUGGGGAGGGUCUGCCAAGGGUCUCCGGCUCCUCUAGCCAUGAAUUGCGCAGGCUUCCUGCCCGCAGUCUCCCAGCCGGUGCCAGUCACGGACACACACGGGGAGGGGCACCCCCAGCCAGAACGGACCUGCCGGAAGCCCCCUGCAGGCUGCCCCCGGGCCUGAGAGCCGCCCCGCAGAGCGGCCCAGAGCCGGGGUCUGGAAGCGAGGGCCCGCAGGGCGGCACAGACCGCAGGCUGAGCGGCGGCCCGGCACACCGAGAUGGGGCCCCGCCCACUGGAGAAAGUACAAAGUGUGCCCACAGCCUCCGGCCGGCCGGAGAGCAGCGAGCAGCCCGCCCCAGCCUC
ensembl:lncRNA